rnacentral:lncRNA from 1 species
UGGAAAAGGUUAUCUUUUGAUGAGACAUGAGUCCAUGCACCCAUUUUCAGGUGCUCAUCUGAAGCUGGGUCGGCACUAACUCAACCCAGGCGUCGUUCUCUCCCACCUGUACAGCUCCUCCCGGGGGAUUCCAGGACAUCCAGGCCAGAUGAGAUACAUACAAGUAAUGCCUCAAGCGAAUUGUGGGCCUGGCCCUGGGACUUGGAUGUGCCCUGAACACAUCCAAUUGAAGACGACGCGACCGUGGACUCCAGGACGAUGCCCUUGUCAGACCCCGGCGAGGGAGAACAGCCACGAGGCCGGGGACGGCACCAGGCAUGAGUGGACAUGGGCUCGAGCCAGGUACCGCUGAGAAGCAGCUCCACGCCGGCCGGCGGGUCGCACGGAGCCACACACAGAUACUGGCUGGGAAAAGAAACAUGCACGUAGGAGGAUAGAUGAGUAACGGUUCCUCCCCCUCUGCUGCCCUACAAGUGCCCUUGAGCAAGUCGGUCAUUGUUAAGAGACGAGGGAAGAGGCGGAGGUGGAAGAAGCAGCGCGAGCUCUUGCAAGUGUGUGUGAAGACGACGGAGAAUGAGGCGAAAGACAAGAGACUAAGUGUUUCCCGAGCGGAGGGAGAGAAUGGCUCCGCUGUCGGCUCAAUGCCCACAGGAACGAAGCGGGGACCAGCGCAUCGUAAGACAACGCACAGCGGUGACUCAGCCUCCAGCAGCAGAAGCAGUGUGAGAACACAAACCGGGGCUUAGAAGCGAGCUCGCUCAUUACAUCAGCGCUCAGGUGUUGUCUCCUCGUUUUAUGAGCAGCCAGACGAGGCCGGAGUUUAGAGCUGUGUGUCAUUAAGGCCCGCGGACCGCUUCAAGGUUCUGUGGUACCUCUGCUGGAAGACGUCUCCGUGGUUGAGUCACUGCUUAGAAAGCUUCCACAUCCUGCCUUCGCUGAGACACCAGGAGGAUAGACAGACAGAUAGAUAUGUAUUAUCUGAGGUGUUUACCAAAGCCGCACUACAGAGUAGAGAGAGGAGCCCACAGCACAUACACAUCAAGCGAAGGAUGUUCCAGUGCUCUGAUUUCUCAAGCAGAUAUACAGAAAACCCAUCGCCAAAGAAUGAAGGUGAGGCUCUCUAGAGAAAACCCCAUCUCUGGUUCUUUAAUGCAGAAAAAACACAGAGGAUCAGCUGCUUAAUCUAAAGCUCAGUCAACAGCAACAUCUACCGCAGGUAGAAUUGAUCACGAUUGUAGGUUUUCUGUCUAGACCAGCGUCACAUGCCUGAUAUACAGUAUUUACUGUGCUGAUGUUUGCUGCAUGCAGUGGCUGCACACCUCCUCAGCAGAGUGCCUGCUAAAAAUAACACCUGAUGCAGACCAGCCACAGACCCCAGCAAUGCGUACAGUUACAUCUAUCGAUCAUUAUCUAGCUGACACGUCCAGAAGACCUCCUGCUGCUCUGUGAAUAUGCAUCCUGGCGCUGAUUAAGUGCGGUUCUGCCCUCCUGACCUGCUGGAUCGGUCCUGGUCGUGUGUCCAGACCAGCGCUCAGCUGCACAGUACAGUAACCCAUGAAUUAGUUAGGCUUCCCUAUUAUUUUAGCUCGUCCU